rnacentral:rRNA from 1 species
CGGCGGACGGGUGAGUAACACGUGGGUAACCUACCUAUAAGACUGGGACAACUUCGGGAAACCGGAGCUAAUACCGGAUAAGAUAUCGAACCGCAUGGUUCGAUAGUGAAAGAUGGUUUUGCUAUCACUUAUAGAUGGACCCGCGCCGUAUUAGCUAGUUGGUGAGGUAACGGCUCACCAAGGCAACGAUACGUAGCCGACCUGAGAGGGUGAUCGGCCACACUGGAACUGAGACACGGUCCAGACUCCUACGGGAGGCAGCAGGC